GAAGAUAUUACUGAUGAAGAAACAAAGUCACAGUUGCAGUCGAUCUUACAGGCCCAGACUGAUUCACAACUACAAGAUGCAGUUGAACAGGCUGCUAGCUUAAUCAGUCUUGCUGGUCACAAUGUACGCAUAACACUGGAAAACAAACAGGAGACUGCUUUGGAUCUGGCUCAUUGGUAUGUCCUUCAGCGGACCCGUGCACCAUUUGAAAGGUUCAGAGAUGGCUUAACGUCUCUGGGUGUCCUAGAUGCUCUCCAAAACUAUCCUGUUCAGUCAAAGUGCCUUUUUGUGAAGGCUG